GGAGAGGUGGCUGAGUGGUCGAAAGCGAUCGCCUGCUAAGUGAUUGCACGGUUAAUCGCCGUGCCCCGGGUUCGAAUCCCGGCCUCUCCGCCA
rnacentral:tRNA from 1 species